rnacentral:snRNA from 1 species
AGCUUUGCACAGUAGCAGUAUUAUAGCCAGCAAGGUUUAUCCCAGGUGCGAUUAUUGCUAAUUGGAAACUUAAAGCCACAUUUAUUUAUUUAUUUUUUGGUACCAGGGAUCGAACUCAGGUCCUUG